rnacentral:tRNA from 1 species
AAUAUUCUAGUAGCUUAACCCAUUAAAGC